GAUGCGACCACAGCGGUAUUCUAUUCGAUCUCGAACACGCAACGCGGGCUCGGCGGUAUUUCCUUCGGCAACUUCCUGAUCAAGCAGGUGGUCGAGGAGAUCAAACGCGAACUGCCGAAUGUGCAUACCUUCGUGACACUUUCGCCGGUGCCGGGAUUCGCUGCCUGGCUGAAGCGCGAACGCGCGUCCGAGACUUCGCCGCUGCUCGAUGGGGCGUCACGCGCCA
rnacentral:misc_RNA from 1 species